UGGGGAAUAUUGCACAAUGGGCGCAAGCCUGAUGCAGCCAUGCCGCGUGUGUGAAGAAGGCCUUCGGGUUGUAAAGCACUUUCAGCGGGGAGGAAGGCGUUAAGGUUAAUAACCUUUGCUCAUUGACGUUACCCGCAGAAGAAGCACCGGCUAACUCCGUGCCAGCAGCCGCGGUAAUACGGAGGGUGCAAGCGUUAAUCGGAAUUACUGGGCGUAAAGCGCACGCAGGCGGUCUGUCAAGUCGGAUGUGAAAUCCCCGGGCUCAACCUGGGAACUGCAUUCGAAACUGGCAGGCUAGAGUCUUGUAGAGGGGGGUAGAAUUCCAGGUGUAGCGGUGAAAUGCGUAGAGAUCUGGAGGAAUACCGGUGGCGAAGGCGGCCCCCUGGACAAAGACUGACGCUCAGGUGCGAAAGCGUGGGGAGCAAACAGG
rnacentral:rRNA from 1 species